rnacentral:rRNA from 1 species
GAUGAACGCUGGCGGCGGGCUUAACACAUGCAAGUCGAACGGAAAGGCCCUGCUUUUGUGGGGUGCUCGAGUGGCGAACGGGUGAGUAACACGUGAGUAACCUGCCCUUGACUUUGGGAUAACUUCAGGAAACCGGGACUAAUACCAGAUCGGAGCUCCUGCUGCAUGGGGGGGGUUGGAAAGUUUCGGCGGUUGGGGAUGGACUCGCGGCUUAUCAGCUGGUUGGUGGGGUAGUGGCUUACCAAGGCUUUGACGGGUAGCCGGCCUGAGAGGGUGACCGGGCACCUUGGGACUGAGAUACGGCCCAGAGUCGUACGGGAGACAGCAGUGGGGAAUAUUGCACAAUGGGCGGAAGCCUGAUGCAGCAACGCCGCGUGCGGGAUGACGGCCUUCGGGUUGUAAACCGCAUUCGCCUGUGACGAAGCGUGAGUGACGGUAAUGGGUAAAGAAGGACCGGCUAACUACGUG